CUCUCCUCUCCUGACACCCUGUGACAGCCUUGCCGAGAGCCGAGGUCCCCACAGCUGGCCGGGAGAGCCCUAGGAGGCAGGUCCAGUUUCCCCCUGUUGUAGACACGCGGGAGCCAAGGCCACACAGCCAGGAGGAAGGAAACUGACACCACAUCAAGUGACCAGAGAUGCUGGGAAUCCCCUAAUUCCUCUCCUUUACUGAGAUAACAGACAGAGCAGAACAAAAGAAUGAUCACUCUGAGCACCCGAGAGCAGAGAAGCUAGGAAUGCCCUUGCCAGCCCCUGCAUCCUGGAGAAUCUGGUCCAGGACUGUCUGAGUUACCUUCAGGGACCUGCCUGGGAACAUAAAUGAGUGAGCUGGGUUGAGCAGGGGCUACUGUGGUUUAUUUCAU